rnacentral:rRNA from 1 species
CCUACGGGGGGCUGCAGUGGGGAAUAUUGGACAAUGGGGGGAACCCUGAUCCAGCCAUGCCGCGUGUGUGAAGAAGGCCCUCGGGUUGUAAAGCACUUUCAGUGAGGAAGAACGCCUGGUGGUUAAUACCCAUCAGGAAAGACAUCACUCACAGAAGAAGCACCGGCUAACUCCGUGCCAGCAGCCGCGGUAAUACGGAGGGUGCGAGCGUUAAUCGGAAUUACUGGGCGUAAAGCGCGCGUAGGUGGCUUGAUAAGCCGGUUGUGAAAGCCCCGGGCUCAACCUGGGAACGGCAUCCGGAACUGUCAAGCUAGAGUGCAGGAGAGGAAGGUAGAAUUCCCGGUGUAGCGGUGAAAUGCGUAGAGAUCGGGAGGAAUACCAGUGGCGAAGGCGGCCUUCUGGACUGACACUGACACUGAGGUGCGAAAGCGUGGGUAGCACACAGGAUUAGAUACCCUAGUAGUC